AUUGAACGCUGGCGGAAUGCUUUACACAUGCAAGUCGAACGAUGAAGCCUAGCUUGCUAGGUCGAUUAGUGGCGAACGGGUGAGUAAUAUAUCGGAACGUAUCCAAUAAUGGGGGAUAACUAGUCGAAAGAUUGGCUAAUACCGCAUACGUCCUACGGGAGAAAGCUGGGGAUCGUAAGACCUGGCGUUAAUGGAGCGGCCGAUAUCUGAUUAACUAGUUGGCGAGGUAAAGGCUCACCAAGGCGACGAUCAGUAGCUGGUCUGAGAGGACGACCAGCCACACUGGAACUGAGACGCGGUCCAGACUCCUACGGGAGGCAGCGGUGGGGAGUUUUGGACAAUGGGCGAAAGCCUGAUCCAGCCAUUCCGCGUGAGUGAAGAAGGCCUUCGGGUUGUAAAGCUCUUUCGCAAGGGAAGAACACUUACUUAAUAACACUAAGUGAGGUUGACGGUACCUUGAUAAGAAGCACCGGCUAACUACGUGCCAGCCGCCGCCGUAA
rnacentral:rRNA from 1 species